rnacentral:rRNA from 1 species
UGCCAGCAGCCGCGGUAAUACAGAGGGUGCAAGCGUUAAUCGGAAUUACUGGGCGUAAAGCGUGCGUAGGCGGAUAAUUAAGUCAGAUGUGAAAGCCCCGGGCUCAACCUGGGAACUGCAUUUGAUACUGGUUAUCUUGAGUAUGGUAGAGGAAAGUAGAAUUUCCGGUGUAGCGGUGAAAUGCGUAGAUAUCGGAAGGAAUACCAGUGGCGAAGGCGGCUUUCUGGACCAAUACUGACGCUGAGGCACGAAAGCGUGGGGAGCGAACAGGAUUAGAUA